UACGGAGGGGGCGAGCGUUGUUCGGAAUCACUGGGCGUAAAGCGCUUGUAGGCGGACUGUUAAGUCGGGGGUGAAAUCCCGGAGCUCAACUCCGGAACUGCCUUUGAUACUGGCGACCUUGAGGCUGGAAGAGGUUAGUGGAAUUCCCAGUGUAGAGGUGAAAUUCGUAGAUAUUGGGAAGAACACCAGUGGCGAAGGCGGCUAACUGGUCCAGAUCUGACGCUGAGGUGCGAAAGCGUGGGGAGCAAACAGG
rnacentral:rRNA from 1 species